CCUACGGGUGGCAGCAGUGGGGAAUAUUGCACAAUGGGGGAAACCCUGAUGCAGCGACGCCGCGUGAGUGAAGAAGUAAUUCGUUAUGUAAAGCUCUAUCAGCAGGGAAGCAAAUGACGGUACCUGAGUAAGAAGCCCCGGCUAACUACGUGCCAGCAGCCGCGGUAAUACGUAGGGGGCAAGCGUUAUCCGGAUUUUCUGGGUGGAAAGGGAGCGUAGACGGGAGUGCAAGUCUGGAGUGAAAGGCGGGGGCUCAACCCCCGGACUGCUCUGGAAACUGUACGGCUGGAGUGCAGGAGAGGUAAGUGGAAGUCCUAGUGUAGCGGUGAAAUGCGUAGAUAUUAGGAGGAACACCAGUGGCGAAGGCGGCUUACUGGACUGUAACUGACGUUGAGGCUCGAAAGCGUGGGGAGCAAACAGGAUUAGAUACCCGUGUAGUC
rnacentral:rRNA from 1 species